UACGUAGGGGGCCAGCGUUGUCCGGAAUCAUUGGGCGUAAAGCGCGCGUAGGCGGCCAGAUAAGUCCGGUGUGAAAGUCAAAGGCUCAACCUUUGAAUGCCGCUGGAAACUGCCUGGCUUGAGUCCGGAAGGGGCGAGUGGAAUCCUGGUGUAGCGGUGAAAUGCGCAGAUAUCAGGAGGAACACCAAUUGCGAAGGCAGCUCGCUGGGACGUUACUGACGCUGAGACGCGAAAGCGUGGGGAGCAAACAGG
rnacentral:rRNA from 1 species